rnacentral:tRNA from 1 species
GCGUUUUUAGCUCAGUUGGUAGAGCACCUGACUCUUAAUCAGGGUGCCCAGGGUUCGAGUCCCUGAAGACGCA